UCAGGCCUCCUUUAGGCAACGCCAAAGUGGCGUCUUCAAGAUCCACGGCCACUUAUUGGCUGUGUUCUGUUUCUGUUUAAUGGCUGAUCCUCGUGUUUUCAGAAUUUUAUUAGCUCAAGAGACGGGUUUUGCUCUGCAAGAGCAUGUUACAGCUAAGAGAGAGGUGGUUAUGGCUGGAUAAUACUGUAUGUUGGUGAUCUCUAGGUGGUUAUGGCUGGAUAAUACUGUAUGUUGGUGAUCUCUAGGUGGUUAUGGCUGGAUAAUACUGUAUGUUGGUGAUCUCUAGGUGGUUAUGGCUGGAUAAUACUGUAUGUUGGUGAUCUCUAGGUGGUUAUGGCUGGAUAAUACUGUAUGUUGGUGAUCUCUAGGUGGUUAUGGCUGGAUAAUACUGUAUGUUGGUGAUCUCUAGGUGGUUAUGGCUGGAUAAUACUGUAUGUUGGUGAUCUCUAGGUGGUUAUGGCUGGAUAAUACUGUAUGUUGGUGAUCUCUAGGUGGUUAUGGCUGGAUAAUACUGUAUGUUGGUGAUCUCUAGGUGGUUAUGGCUGGAUAAUACUGUAUGUUGGUGAUCUCUAGGUGGUUAUGGCUGGAUAAUACUGUAUGUUGGUGAUCUGUAGGUGGUUAUGGCUGGAUAAUACUGUAUGUUGGUGAUCUCUAGGUGGUUAUGGCUGGAUAAUACUGUAUGUUGGUGAUCUCUAGGUGGUUAUGGCUGGAUAAUACUGUAUGUUGGUGAUCUCUAGGUGGUUAUGGCUGGAUAAUACUGUAUGUUGGUGAUCUCUAGGUGGUUAUGGCUGGAUAAUACUGUAUGUUGGUGAUCUCUAGGUGGUUAUGGCUGGAUAAUACUGUAUGUUGGUGAUCUCUAGGUGGUUAUGGCUGG